UUUGGCCAACAAAUUAAUGUCCGUCGUUCCUUCUUUGAGUACUGUGAAAAUCAUUACAGAAGAAGAGGAUCAUGAUAUUACUUGGGAAUUUCUGUAUACCAUCUGUGGUAGAACCAUUGCUCUUCGUACGUACCCCACAUCAUGCACAUUUAGAGUUCCAGAAACUGGGCAGGAGGUCACCAAGUGAAUACUCCUUGGAAAUUGAGGACCGUUGCAUGUUUGGAAAUGUUUUAAGCUGGCAUCCUCUAAAACUAACCAUAUGCUGGCUAGUACUCCUCAUGCUGCUAACCAUCAGUUACUCAUCCAAAGAACCUGAUGUGGAAGGUAUAGUGUGGUUUAACCUUUGUCCUUUGUUCUGUUUGUAACUUAGUUUUGUACUCUAUUGAUUAAAAUAUUUUCCCAGAACUUCUCUAAAAAAAUUUAAGAAUUAGAGGGAGAAGACAUAGAAUCUCAUGGAAAUAUGAUAAACUGGUCCAAUUUCCAAUAGCCUCAAGACACUCUGUUAGUCACUAAAAAGAACUUCUCUAAACACAUUAUGUUACUGAGUUUCCCUUUAUUUACUUUUUAAGUAAGAAGAUUUUAUUAAAGUGCAAUGGUGCAACCCCCCAUACACAAGUAGUAUACAUGAGAGACACCUAGCUAGAGUACUCAUUACUUGGGGUGGUGUUAUGAUUUCAUUCAAUCAAGAGGAAUCAGUUGCUUCAACUUUGAGCAUACUUGGAAGAACUGUUAUGUGAGCCUUGAUCCAAUCACGGCAUGGAUUUUGGCGCAGUUUAUGGAAUGCGGAGGGCAUUUAGUGAAGGGGACAUGCUAAAGAGAUGAGUGACGAUUCACAUGAAAUUGAAGCUAAAGAAAAUCGUGCUCAACGUUCAGUCCCCGAUUGAAUGAGAGAAUCCUUUCAUCUUUGUGAAGGAUAUCAGUUGCUGCACACCCUUGGCAUGAUCUCGAGAUUGGGAAUAAACAUAUUGACUUUGUUUUUUUAUUUUUUGGGUGGUAACAUGCUAAAAGAAUGUUCAAGUGAGAUUUUUAGCAUGUAGUUAAGAUCACCAUCUUCGCACUAAUUUCUGUUUCUUUAUGAAUCUCUAACUCUUUCCCCGCAUGCAAAUAUCACUUGUCCAAUAAGAAUUAUCAAAGCAGUUGCACCUUUUUUAUGGUCAUUCCCUUGCAACCCAAUCCAGCAGCGUUCCCAUUCAUCCCAGUGGGUAAAACAUUAGUGCUGCAGGCUAAUUUUGUGACCAUCACCCCCUUUCCUUGCAAAUUAUUCUGAACAUCUAUUAGACUCCAUUUCCCAGCUGCCAAGUUUUCUCAGCCUUCUUAAAUUUCCAGUACUUUCUCUUAUCUAGCAAGAAUUUUCAACUUUUAAAUUGAAACUCGUUUUCUUCAGGCACAUUUUCUAAUGUAUCUCUUUGAUGUAUUACUAAGAGGUUGGUUCAAAAGAUUCAAGUAGUUGUGCAGGUAUAAUGUACUAAAGAACUCAUGUUUUUGUAAUUAUCUGGACAUAUUGCAUUUGGCCUGCAUUGGAGAAUUGUUUUUUUUUUUCAUCUUGUAAAAGUGAAUAUCUCUAGUCCUGCAGAUGUUAUAGACUCUCAAUAUCCAGUUGCCUUAAUGGCGACUGGCUGAUGUUACAUACAUGCUGAUCAGAUCUGUUUAGGUCUAUAUAUAUUUGGGCUUACUAUGCUGGCAUAUAUGUUCAUUGGAAGCACUUGCUUGCAGUUUUUUGUGUUAAAUGUUUAUUACCAGAAAUAAAAUGACUAUACAUGCAAAUCACACACUCAAAAUGAAUGCAGAUAAGGAAUUAAUUCGGAAUUUUUCUACCUCUUCUUUCCCACCUCAGUCUCUUAUCUAUUGAUCCAAUUUAAUAAAAACUUCUUCCCACCAGCAUCAUAUACAAGUGGUAAGUGUUUAAUUCCUCAAGUUCUGUACUAAAACAUGGACUAUUAAAUGCAUGCUUAGUGUCAGAUACUGCUAUUCUCAUCUGUCAUCACUCUUCUUUGAUGAAUACAAUCAUUUAUACUCUUGUUAACAUUUCCUUUGAUGAAUUAUUUGUUAUUUGGCUUGGUUUGUUACAUAUUAUUUUUUACAACUCCGAUAUUUUACGUGCUUGAUGACACUUGUUAUUGGUUUUUAGAUCAUUUAUAAGUUUGGUUCUGUGCUUCCCACUUGUGCAAUUGUUUUUUUUAGCAAGAACAUAUAAUUUGCAUGUGAAAUAUAUUUUUUUGUGGAUUAUGUAUUUGUGCAUUUUUUUUUUAAAUUUUUGAAAAACCUUUUUUGGCAACAAUUAUUCGUUGGAAAUACAUAAUGGCGACGAUAAUUUAAAAUUGCUGGGAAAAAUAUCGAGUCAUUUGCGGCGAUUUCCCAACCUUUUGUGACGAUAUAUAUCGUCGAUUUUUGAGAUAUUUGUGACGGACAAAAAUUGCCGGAAAUAGUAAUUUUUUGUGACGAUUUUUAUAUAUUGCUGAAGUUAAUAAGAAAUGACACUUUAAUUUCAUCAAACAUGCAGCGAAUUAGAAAUCCUCGAAAAUGAUCAAUUGCAGCAAUUAUUAUUGGUAUUUAUGAAGAUCUUAAGUGCUGAAAAAUGUCUGAUUUAUUGUAGUCUUCGUACCCCCACUGAGCCACAUUUGCAUCAUGUACAUAUAUAAUACAUUCAGAGGCAGUCUGAAAAUCAAUGUGUAAGGCACGUUGGCUACCCUGCGUCUUCCCCUUUCAUUUCGAACUUAAACUGUUCGACGGAACUUGUUGGCCUGGGCCCUGCUUUGUGUGCUACAGCCUGCACCUUAAAGAUAUUUCUUGAUAGUGAAAAAAUAUAUGUUAAUAGAAUUUUUUUUUUUUUUUAUAAAGAACCGA